GCGAAAACUUUACAAUGCUGGCAACAGCGAUAAGGGAACCUCGAGUGCAAGGUCACAAAUCUGACUGUCGAGAUGCCUAAAAAGCAUUUCAUAGCAAGGGCCGGGCAAGACCGGUGCCAGCCGCCGCGGUAACACCGGCGGCUCGAGUGGUAACCGUUAUUAUUGGGUCUAAAGGGUCUGUAGCCGGCCGGAUAAGUCUCUUGAGAAAUCUGGCAGCUUAACUGAAAGGCUUUCAGGAGAUACUGUCUGGCUCGAGGCCGGGAGAGGUGAGAGGUACUUCAGGGGUAGGGGUGAAAUCUUGUAAUCCUUGAAGUAUCACCAGUGGCGAAGGCGUCUCACCAGAACGGACCUGACGGCAAGGGACGAAAGCUAGGGGCACGAAAC
rnacentral:rRNA from 1 species